AGGCUGGCCUUGAACUUGGAAUUCUCCUGCCUCACCAUCCAGUCACUGGUAUUACAGGUGCGUGCCCCUGCACCCAGCUAGAUGGUCAAGUAUGUGUCAAAUUGGCUGGGCCACAGUUCCAAUUGUUUGAAAAGCUGAUUGAAUCAGACAGGGGCUGAGCUAAGGUUUCCCUGAAGAAGAUGGCCACCUGCGGUCAGCUCUUCAGCUUGCCUUCCUGACUGAGCACCAGUGCUUCAAGGAAGCUCAGGGAAGGAAUUUUCUGGGAUGUACACACACAGCUGGGCCGCAUUCCAGUUUCCCAGUAUGGGACAGUGAAUCACAGAGGUCUCCAUGGUCUCGGGGUUUCCUUACAAACAUGGGGUCCAGGAGAGGAGGCUGUUGGGUGGUGACAUGGGAACCAGGGCACUGAAGGUG
rnacentral:lncRNA from 1 species